UUUUGUGGAGGGUUCGAUUCUGGCUCAGGAUGAACGCUGGCGGCGUGCUUAACACAUGCAAGUCGAACGGGAUCCCUGGCGCUUGCGCCGGGGUGAGAGUGGCGAACGGGUGAGUAAUGCGUGACCAACCUGCCCCAUGCACCGGAAUAGCUCCUGGAAACGGGUGGUAAUGCCGGAUGCUCCAGAUGACCGCAUGGGAUUCUGGGAAAGCUUUUGCGGCAUGGGAUGGGGUCGCGUCCUAUCAGCUUGUUGGUGGGGUGAUGGCCCACCAAGGCUUCGACGGGUAGCCGGCCUGAGAGGGCGACCGGCCACAUUGGGACUGAGAUACGGCCCAGACUCCUACGGGAGGCAGCAGUGGGGAAUAUUGCGCAAUGGGCGAAAGCCUGACGCAGCGACGCCGCGUGCGGGAUGGAGGCCUUCGGGUUGUAAACCGCUUUUAUCGGGGAGCAAGCGAGAGUGAGUGUACCCGUUGAAUAAGCACCGGCUAACUACGUGCCAGCAGCCGCGGUAAUACGUAGGGUGCAAGCGUUAUCCGGAUUUAUUGGGCGUAAAGGGCUCGUAGGCGGUUCGUCGCGUCUGGUGUGAAAGUCCAUCGCUUAACGGUGGAUCUGCGCCGGGUACGGGCGGGCUGGAGUGCGGCAGGGGAGACUGGAAUUCCCGGUGUAACGGUGGAAUGUGUAGAUAUCGG
rnacentral:rRNA from 1 species